UGGGGAAUUUUGGACAAUGGGGGAAACCCUGAUCCAGCCAUCCCGCGUGUGCGAUGAAGGCCUUCGGGUUGUAAAGCACUUUUUGCAGGAAAGAAACGUCAUGGGUUAAUACCCCGUGAAACUGACGGUACCUGCAGAAUAAGCACCGGCUAACUACGUGCCAGCAGCCGCGGUAAUACGUAGGGUGCAAGCGUUAAUCGGAAUUACUGGGCGUAAAGCGUGCGCAGGCGGUUCGGAAAGAAAGAUGUGAAAUCCCAGAGCUCAACUUUGGAACUGCAUUUUUAACUACCGGGCUAGAGUGUGUCAGAGGGAGGUGGAAUUCCGCGUGUAGCAGUGAAAUGCGUAGAUAUGCGGAGGAACACCGAUGGCGAAGGCAGCCUCCUGGGAUAACACUGAAGCUCAUGCACGAAAGCGUGGGGAGCAAACAGG
rnacentral:rRNA from 1 species